rnacentral:rRNA from 1 species
UACGUAGGGUGCAAGCGUUAAUCGGAAUUACUGGGCGUAAAGCGUGCGCAGGCGGUGAUGCAAGACAGAGGUGAAAUCCCUCGGCUUAACCGGGGAACUGCGUCUGAUACUGGAUGGCUUGAGUGUGGGAGAGGGAUGCGGAAUUCCAGGUGUAGCGGUGAAAUGCGUAGAUAUCUGGAGGAACACCGGUGGCGAAGGCGGCAUCCUGGACCGGUAUUGACGCUGAGGCGCGAAAGCCAGGGGAGCAAACGGG